rnacentral:rRNA from 1 species
AGUUGUAAUUUGUAGAGGAUGCUUCGAGCAUGGUCUGGCCUAAGUUCCUUGGAACAGGACGUCAUAGAGGGUGAGAAUCCCGUAUGCGGCCAGGUGCCUACGCUCAUGUGAAGCUCCUUCGACGAGUCGAGUUGUUUGGGAAUGCAGCUCAAAAUGGGUGGUAAAUUUCAUCUAAAGCUAAAUAUUGGCCAGAGACCGAUAGCGCACAAGUAGAGUGAUCGAAAGAUGAAAAGCACUUUGGAAAGAGAGUUAAACAGUACGUGAAAUUGUUGAAAGGGAAGCGCUUGCAACCAGACUUGCGCGCGGCCGAUCAUCCGGUGUUCUCACCGGUGCACUCGGCCGUGCUCAGGCCAGCAUCGGUUUUGGCGGCUGGAUAAAGGCCCUAGGAAUGUAGCUCCUCUCGGGGAGUGUUAUAGCCUAGGGUGCAAUGCAGCCUGCUGGGACCGAGGACCGCGCUUCGGCUAGGAUGCUGGCGUAAUGGUUGUAAGCGGCCCGUCUUGAAACACGGACCAAGGAGUCUAACAUCUAUGCGAGUGUUUGGGUGUCAAACCCAUACGCGUAAUGAAAGUGAACGGAGGUGAGAACCCUUAAGGGUGCAUCAUCGACCGGUCCUGAAGUUUACGGAAGGAUCUGAGUAAGAGCAUAGCUGUUGGGACCCGAAAGAUGGUGAACUAUGCCUGAAUAGGGUGAAGCCAGAGGAAACUCUGGUGGAGGCUCGCAGCGGUUCUGACGUGCAAAUCGAUCGUCAAAUUUGG